rnacentral:rRNA from 1 species
UACGUAGGGCGCAAGCGUUAUCCGGAAUUAUUGGGCGUAAAGAGCUCGUAGGCGGUUUGUCGCGUCUGCCGUGAAAGUCCGGGGCUCAACUCCGGAUCUGCGGUGGGUACGGGCAGACUAGAGUGAUGUAGGGGAGGCUGGAAUUCCUGGUGUAGCGGUGAAAUGCGCAGAUAUCAGGAGGAACACCAAUAGCGAAGGCGGCUCGCUGGGACGUUACUGACACUGAGGCGCGAAAGCCAGGGGAGCGAACGGG